rnacentral:lncRNA from 1 species
UGCUUUCAAGUGUUUAAUAUUGGAAAACAAUUUAUAGAUUGUAUUUGGGUUUAUAGGUUCCUGUCUAGGGUUUAGAUUUACUAAGUAAAGGUUUGGGUAUAGUAAACCAUAUUAUAUACAUUUUAUUUGGGUUUAUACUUCCUUGAUUAGGGUUUAGCUUAAUCUAUUUAUUUAGGUUUAGGGUUUAGGGUAUAUUUGGAUUAGGGUUUAGUGACUAGAAUUUAGGGUUUAGUAUUUAGAAGGUGAGGGGUAUGGUUGGGAUCAACAUUAACUUCUUUCAUGCAAUCAUAGACAUUGUAUUUGGGUUUAGAUUUAGUAACUAGGGAGUUUGUUUAAGGUUUAAUAUUUAAAUGGGUGGUAUGGUUUAGGAUUUUGUGAUUAAGAUUUAGGGUUUAGUAAUUGUAAGGUGAGGGUUGAGUUUUGGGUUUAGUGAUAACAGUUUAGGGUUUAAUAUUUAAAGUUGGGUGUGAGUCAGUCAUUCUAUACUAUUUAUAAGUUCUAUACUAUUUGGGACAAUAGUUCUAUACUAUUUAUUAAAUAUGUAAUAAUUUACCAUGUUAUAGGUUUCUUGUUAGGGUUUAGAUAGUUUAAUAUUGAAAAAUAGUUUAUAGAUUGUAUUAGGGUUUAUAGGUUCCUGGUUAGGGUUUAGAUUUACUAAGUAGGGGUUUGUGUAUAGUAGUCAUCGAUUUUAGGUGGGUUUAUUAUGUAUAGUUCUUACCGCAUCUUGGGUGUUGUACUAUGUCACUGAGAUAGAAUUGUACACUUGCAACAUAUGGUUAAGAUUAUAUUUCGGUUUAGAUUUAGUAACUAGGGAGUUUGUCUAGGGUUUAAUAUUUAAGUGGGUGGGUAUGAUUUAAUAUGUAUGUUCCAUGGCUGAUAAAUUUUAAAUAUAUAGUAAAACAGUUAUAUAUUAUAUUUGGUUUAUAAUUUACUGUGAUUACAGUAUAGAUUUACUAAUUAGAGGUAAGAAAACAGUGAUGUGAAUGAUUUUGACACUGUCGUUGUCAAUAACGUGCACUAAAUUUUAGCCACAUUUUAUUUUGUUGACAUCUUAUU